rnacentral:lncRNA from 1 species
AUUAAAAUUAUUUACAAUCAAAAGGAUCGCAAAUUUUAAUAAAGAAAACCUUUAGUUUAUGCAAUCUAUAAGGUAAAAGAUUGCAGAAUUUUUGGUAAUCUACAUACAAAAAAUGUUAUAGUCAUCCAUUGUGCUGCACCAAAGCACUUAGAUACUAAAGAUUGUAAAGUGUUGGACUAUUUACAUGCAAAAAAUAUUAUGCUCCCUAGGUUAGACAGAG